CAGAGUAAUAUACUAUUUUUGUGGAGUAUAGUGCAUGUUUCUGCUAAUCGCGUGAGAUUAGCCGUUUUUAUGGUGAGAUUUUUUUUGAGUUUUACUGUAAUUUAUUAGUGUACGGUGGUGUGUUUAAAUGUGUUCAGAAUAUGUUUCUGUAACGAGCAAUGAUUGGUUUGGUGCUAGCUAGCCCAGUUAGUGUGUGAGUUGAUCGACAGAGGGCGUGGCGAGCGAGCUCCAUGAUCACGUGCGUGCGAUGCGGCAGCUGACAAGAGCUGGAUGAUAUGUCCGCGAAGAAGCACUCGCCGCAACCGAAGCGGUCGGAGGCGCUGAGCGGGCGGCUGAGCAAGUCUGCGUCGGAGUUGUCAUGUUCGUCACCGCAGAGUGGCCCGGCGCCGCCACGGGCGCGCUCCGCACACCACCACGCGCCCCUCUCAGUUGUACACCGCACGCAUCACUUCUUCACCAAC